GAUGAAGAACGCAGCGAAAUGCGAUAAGUAAUGUGAAUUGCAGAAUUCAGUGAAUCAUCAAAUCUUUGAACGCACAUUGCGCCCAUUAGUAUUCUAGUGGGCAUGCCUGUUCGAGCGUCAUUAAUUCCACUUAAGCCCUGCUUAGUGUUGGGAAUCUACUCUAGUGGUGCUACCCUGGAGCUACCCCUGAAAGGGGGCUGGCCCGGUAGCUACCCUGUAGUUCCUCAAAGAUAGUGCGCGGAGUUGCGUGGUCCUCUGAGCUUAGUAACUAUACACCUAGCUUUUGAGUGUCCCGCGGCGCCUGCCGUUUAAACCCCAUCUUUUAAUGGUUGACCUCGGAUCAGGUAGGAAUACCCGCUGAACUUAAGCAUAUCAAUAAGCGGAGGA
rnacentral:misc_RNA from 1 species